CAGACACAGCAACCAAUCACACGGCUGCCCGAGGACACAGGUGGUAUAGAGGGUAUGCAUGUGACGUCACGGUACCCGGAAGUCGCUGCGGUUACGCCCACUGAGUGGCAAAAAGACGAGUGGCAGAACUGGCAAGAUUUCAAAUAUUCAAUUAUAUUCGAUAUUCAACAUGGGGAAGAGCUGCUGUGCUUUAAAAAGGGGUCAGAGCAAAGUUUCUACAGGCUACCAAAAGCAGCAGAAAAGAGACGGCGAUGGGUCGCUGCGAUCCGGAGAGACAGCUGGCAUCCAGGCACAGAAACCUGGACCUGCGUUUCACAUUUCGUGUCAGGGAAAAAGAGUGAUGAUCCCCUACCACGUGUCAGUGUAAGUGGACCAGAUGGUUUUGGGGAGCUCCUAUGGAUCAUUGUUGAGUCCAACUGACGUCCAUUUGUUUUGAUAAUCCAUUUUUAUUCGGUUCUGCUGUGUCAACCGCUAUCAUCUUCUUCUUCUUCUUCUUCUUCAUAUGGAUUUCUGGCAGUCUAGACGCUUCUAGGCAUAUUACUGCCCUCCACAGGAAGUCACUCCAAGGAUAUUGUUACUGCUUCAAAUGUUCAUAUAUAGCCCUUUAUUGUGUAAGAACUGUAAUACUACUUUAACAGUCAAGUGGUGGUUCUCAUUUUGACCUAAUAAAGAUUUAACUGAAAAUGACCGAACUCCCAAAUCUGAUCCUCUCUUGUAUAAAAUGUUCCUUUCAAUUGUAUAUUUGUUACAUUUCAAUAAAACAUGUUCAACUG